GAAAGUUGGCCAAGGAUAUAGAACCACGACCAAAUGUUUCAUUUUAUCCAGAUGACACCAAAACAAAGCUCUUCGCUGAAGAUUUAGAACCACGACCAAAUGUCUCAUUUUAUCCCGAUGACGAAACCAAAACAAAGCUCUUCGCUGAAGAUGUAGAACCACGACCAAAUCUCUCAUUUUAUCCCGAUGACGAAACCAAAACAAAACUUUUUGCUGAAGAUGUAGAACCACGGCCAAAUGUCUCAUUUUAUCCCGAUGAUGACACUAAAACAAAGCUUUUUGUUGAAGAUGUAGAACCACGACCAAAUGUUUCAUUCUAUCCUGAUGACGAAACCAAAACAAAACUUUUUGCUGAAGAUGUAGAACCACGACCAAAUUCCUUCUUUUAUCCUGAUGAUGACAUUAAAACAAAGCUUUUGGUUCAAGAAAUAGAGCCUCGACCAAAUGUUUCAUUUUAUCCAGACGAUGACACCAAAACAAAGCUUCUUGCUGAAGAUAUUGAAC
rnacentral:lncRNA from 1 species